GACGAACGCUGGCGGCGUGCCUAAUACAUGCAAGUAGAACGCUGAAGGAGGAGCUUGCUUCUCUGGAUGAGUUGCGAACGGGUGAGUAACGCGUAGGUAACCUGCCUGGUAGCGGGGGAUAACUAUUGGAAACGAUAGCUAAUACCGCAUAAGAGUAGAUGUUGCAUGACAUUUGCUUAAAAGGUGCAAUUGCAUCACUACCAGAUGGACCUGCGUUGUAUUAGCUAGUUGGUGAGGUAACGGCUCACCAAGGCAACGAUACAUAGCCGACCUGAGAGGGUGAUCGGCCACACUGGGACUGAGACACGGCCCAGACUCCUACGGGAGGCAGCAGUAGGGAAUCUUCGGCAAUGGACGGAAGUCUGACCGAGCAACGCCGCGUGAGUGAAGAAGGUUUUCGGAUCGUAAAGCUCUGUUGUAAGAGAAGAACGAGUGUGAGAGUGGAAAGUUCACACUGUGACGGUAUCUUACCAGAAAGGGACGGCUAACUACGUGCCAGCAGCCGCGGUAAUACGUAGGUCCCGAGCGUUGUCCGGAUUUAUUGGGCGUAAAGCGAGCGCAGGCGGUUAGAUAAGUCUGAAGUUAAAGGCUGUGGCUUAACCAUAGUACGCUUUGGAAACUGUUUAACUUGAGUGCAAGAGGGGAGAGUGGAACUCCAUGUGUAGCGGUGAAAUGCGUAGAUAUAUGGAGGAACACCGGUGGCGAAAGCGGCUCUCUGGCUUGUAACUGACGCUGAGGCUCGAAAGCGUGGGGAGCAAACAGG
rnacentral:rRNA from 1 species